rnacentral:rRNA from 1 species
UACGAAGGGGGCUAGCGUUGCUCGGAAUUACUGGGCGUAAAGGGCGCGUAGGCGGGUCGUUUAGUUAGAGGUGAAAGCCCAGGGCUCAACCCUGGAAUUGCCUUUAAUACUGGCGGCCUUGAGUAUGGUAGAGGUGUGUGGAACUCCGAGUGUAGAGGUGAAAUUCGUAGAUAUUCGGAAGAACACCAGUGGCGAAGGCGACACACUGGGCCAUUACUGACGCUGAGGCGCGAAAGCGUGGGGAGCAAACAGG